AGAGUUUGAUUCUGGCUCAGAACGAACGCUGGCAGCGUGGAUUAGGCAUGCAAGUCGAACGAGAAUCCACGGCUUCAAGUUUUCGGACGAGAAGUUGUGGAGGACAGUGGCGGAAGGGUGAGUAACGCGUGGGUAAUUUACCCUCAAGUUGGGAACAACCAGCCGAAAGGCUGGCUAAUGCCGGAUGUGGUCCUUCUCCGCAUGGAGAGACGACUAAAGGUGGGGAUCCUUCGGGACCUGCCGCUUGAGGAUGAGCCCGCGUCCCAUCAGCUUGUUGGUGAGGUAAUGGCUCACCAAGGCUUACGGGUAGCUGGUCUGAGAGGAUGGUCAGCCACACUGGGACUGAGACACUGCCCAGACUCCUACGGGAGGCUGCAGUCGAGGAUCAUUUGCAAUGCGCGAAAGCGUGACGAUGCGACGCUGCGUGGAGGAUGAAGGCCUUCGGGUCGUAAACUCCUGUCAUUUGGGAAAAAUUGCGUGAAGGUGAAUAGCCUUUGCGCUUGAUGGUACCAAAAGAGGAAGCCACGGCUAACUCUGUGCCAGCAGCCGCGGUAAUACAGAGGUGGCGAGCGUUGUUCGGAUUUACUGGGCGUAAAGGGUGCGUAGGUGGUUUCGUGUGUCGGGCGUGAAAUCCCACGGCUUAACCGUGGAACUGCGUCCGAAACUGCGGGACUAGAGUGCAGGAGGGGAGAGCGGAAUUCUUGGUGUAGCGGUGAAAUGCGUUGAUAUCAAGAAGAACACCGGUGGCGAAGGCGGCUCUCUGGAUGCUACUGACACUGAUGCACGAAAGCUGGGGGAGCAAACAGGUUUAGAUACCCUGGUAGUCCCAGCUGUAAACGGUGUGCACUUGGUGUGGGGGGAUUUGACCCCCUCCGUGCCGGAGCUAACGCGUUAAGUGCACCGCCUGGGGAGUACGGCCGCAAGGCUAAAACUCAAAGAAAUUGACGGGGGCCCGCACAAGCGGAGGAGCAUGUGGCUUAAUUCGAUGCAACGCGAAGAACCUUACCAGGGCUUGACAUGUACCUGCACGCCUCCCGAAAGGGAGGAAGCUUUCGAAGGUGGUACACAGGUGCUGCAUGGCUGUCGUCAGUUCGUGCCGUGAGGUGUUGGGUUAAGUCCCGCAACGAACGCAACCCUUGUGUCUAGUUGCCACCUCAGGUGAUGAGCCUGAGCGCACUUUAGACAGACUGCCCGUACAAGCGGGAGGAAGGUGGGGACGACGUCAAGUCAGUAUGGCCCUUACGCCCUGGGCUGCACACGUGCUACAAUGGUCGGUACAGAAGGACGCAAUACCGCGAGGUGGAGCAAAUCCUCAAAACUGGCCUCAGUUCGGAUUGGAGUCUGCAACUCGACUCCAUGAAGUUGGAUUCGCUAGUAACGGCGCAUCAGCUACGGCGCCGUGAAUACGUUCCCGGGCCUUGUACACACCGCCCGUCACAUCAUGAAAGCCGUCUGCACCCGAAGUCACUGAGCCAACCCGCAAGGGGGGCAGGUGCCGAAGGUGCGGGUGGUGAUUGGGAUGAAGUCGAAACAAGGUA
rnacentral:rRNA from 1 species